rnacentral:lncRNA from 8 species
CAUUCGAUAUAUGUCAAAUGUUUGUUCCCUCAUUCUCAUAAUUUAGUUUUUCUUCCCUCAUCCUCACCAUUGUGCUGUGUCUCUUCCCUCAUUCUCACCAUUGUGCUGUGUCUCUUCCCUCAUCCUCACCAUUGUGCUGUGUCUCUUCCCUCAUCCUCACCAUUGUGCUGUGUCUCUUCCCUCAUUCUCACCAUUGUGCUGUGUCUCUUCCCUCAUUCUCACCAUUGUGCUGUGUCUCUUCCCUCAUCCUCACCAUUGUGCUGUCUCUUCCCUCAUUCUCACCAUUGUGCUGUGUCUCUUCCCUCAUUCUCACCAUUGUGCUGUGUCUCUUCCCUCAUUCUCACCAUUGUGCUGUGUCUCUUCCCUCAUUCUCACCAUUGUGCUGUGUCUCUUCCCUCAUCCUCACCAUUGUGCUGUGUCUGUUCCCUCAUUCUCACCAUUGUGCUGUGUCUCUUCCCUCAUUCUCACCAUUGUGCUGUGUCUCUUCCCUCAUUCUCACCAUUGUGCUGUGUCUCUUCCCUCAUUCUCACCAUUGUGCUGUGUCUCUUCCCUCAUUCUCACCAUUGUGCUGUGUCUCUUCCCUCAUUCUCACCAUUGUGCUGUGUCUCUUCCCUCAUCCUCACCAUUGUGCUGUGUUUCUUCCUCAUUCUCAUCAUUGUGCUGUGUCUCUUCCCUCAUUCUCACCAUUGUGCUGUGUCUCUUCCCUCAUUCUCACCAUUGUGCUGUGUCUCUUCCCUCAUCCUCACCAUUGUGCUGUGUUUCUUCCUCAUUCUCACCAUUGUGCUGUGUCUCUUCCCUCAUUCUCACCAUUGUGCUGUGUCUCUUCCCUCAUUCUCACCAUUGUGCUGUGUCUCUUCCCUCAUUCUCAUCAUUGUGCUGUGUCUCUUCCCUCAUCCUCACCAUUGUGCUGUGUUUCUUCCUCAUUCUCAUCAUUGUGCUGUGUUUCUUCCGUCAUUCUCACCAUGGUGUUGUUUUCAUUCUGGACUGAGGGUAAAGUCGCUGUGCCCAGCUGUGUGA